ensembl:lncRNA
GGUUGAUAUAAGAGAAGCAUGAUUCCCAAGAAUAAGGAAGUGAUAUUCCUCCUAUACUUGGUCCUGAUCACAUCACAUAUUUAAAAUAUAUUGUUUAGUGUUGACUGCCACAUUUUGGGAAGGCCAUUAGUACACUAGACAAUGGCCAGAAGAGCAAAAACCAGGGUGGUAAAGGGUCUUUUGUCUAUGUCAUAUGAGGGUCAUAGAAGAAGCUAAGGAUGUUUAGCAUGGAGAAGACAAUGAGAUUGGAGAGAGGAAAGGGUUGUCUUUUAGUACUGGAUGCUAUCCAAGGAAGCCAUAUGAGACAUGUUGUUUGGUCUCAUGUAAAGGAUAACUUUAGCGCUGUGACCUAAACUAUGUUAAUUAUUUGGUCGCCAUGGAUAUCCCAAAUAUAAAAAAAAUACCCAAGUCAGCUGGAAAUUUAUGGUGAUUUAAUUGAUAUAGUGGAAAGACAUUAAGAAGAAGGAAGAAGGAAAGGGUGUAGGAUUUCUUCUGCCUGGCUGGUGCCAGAAGACCAGAGGCUCUAGGAAGGAAAAAAAAAGAAAAGAAGAAAUACAUCCCAAACCAGUUGGACUGCAUUCUUGGUAACAUAUUACCUAUUUCCUGACACCAGAAAGUAAAAGUACAUACCUUAUAUAAAGAACUAUGGGUUAUAAAUGUGCUAUUUAUAGCAUGGUGUCCCUGGGAUUCAAGAAUCAAAAAAAGAAAAAUCAUGUCCAUCACGUUACCCGUGAAGAAAUGCAAUUUCCUACAAAAUCAACUCAGGUGAGAAGAAGCGUGUCAGUGGCUACAAGUAUACAUUCAAUGACUGACUGAGAUGUGAACCUUUUAAGAAUCACAGGGUCUCUGCCUUUCUACCAUGGAACAAUCUCUGAAGGUAUGUUUCACGUCCCUAUCUUCAGGGGCCAUUUUGUGCAUCUUGAUCCAGGAAUUAAAAUAGCUGGCUUUGGCUCUUUGGGAGCUAGAAGUCUGGAGGGUAGGAAAGACAAAGACAGUUAAGUUUUUGAGAGCUGGAUCACUUUGGAAGUACUGUGAGUUUGACUCUGCCCUAGAAUAGACUUACCAAUGCAGAUUGAGCCUGGAAAUCUUACUUACAUUCCAGAGAAGGCUCAAACUCAGAGAGGAAUGGGUUGCUUCCAUAGAUAGUGAAUUCUUCCUCAUUUCAAAAAACAGGCAAAGUUGAAUAGAAGGGUGCUCCAGAAAUAGAGAAGAUAAUCUGAUACAUGAAAAGUGUCCUAGAUUUUGAGUCACAGGACCUAAGUUUGAAAACAAAUUCUACUAUUUACUGCUUGUGUGCUAUUGAGCAAUUCACUUCAGCUCUCUCAACUGAAAUUUCUUCACUUAGUUCAAUUUGGUAAAUAAGCAAGCAAGCAUUUAGCAAAUAAUUGUAGAUUAGAGAUGGACAGAGUCAGGAAGACCUGGAUUGGACUCCUUCCUCAACCUUACUAUCCAUGGGAUCCUGAGGAAGUCACAACUUCUUUCAACUUCAAUUUUCUUGUCUGUAAACUGCAAGGUUUGGACUAAAUCACCUCUAAGGUACCUUCCAGAUCCAAAUCUAUUGUCCUU